GCUCGCUUCCACAGACAUACACUAAAAUUGAAACGGUUCAGAGAUUAGCAUGGCCCCUGGGCAAGAAUGACAUGCAAAAUUGGUGCAGUGUUAAAUACUGGA
ensembl:snRNA U6 U6 spliceosomal RNA